rnacentral:rRNA from 1 species
UGUAUGGGGAUCUGCCCGAUAGAGGGGGAUAACUACUGGAAACGGUGGCUAAUGCCGCAUAAUGUCUACGGACCAAAGCAGGGGCUCUUCGGACCUUGCACUAUCGGAUGAACCCAUAUGGGAUUAGCUAGUAGGUGGGGUAAAGGCUCACCUAGGCGACGAUCUCUAGCUGGUCUGAGAGGAUGAUCAGCCACACUGGGACUGAGACACGGCCCAG